UACGUAGGUGGCGAGCGUUGUCCGGAUUUACUGGGCGUAAAGAGCGCGCAGGCGGUCGUUCAAGUCGCGUGUGAAAGCCCCCGGCUCAACUGGGGGGGGUCACGCGAUACUGAUCGACUCGAAGGCAGGAGAGGGAAGUGGAAUUCCCGGUGUAGUGGUGAAAUGCGUAGAUAUCGGGAGGAACACCAGUGGCGAAGGCGACUUCCUGGCCUGUUCUUGACGCUGAGGCGCGGAAGCUAGGGUAGCAAACGGG
rnacentral:rRNA from 1 species